rnacentral:sRNA from 13 species
GUUGCCUGAGUACAAAAACACACAUACACCGUCACAGAGAUUGGGGUGCUCAUAGCCAGAGUCAAUCUUUGGGGUGUGUGGAGGCGUAAC